UAUCGUUCCCUCACUGCUGAGGAUUGCGAACACAUGUGACGUUCUUCCAUUCUGUUCGAUCAUGGCGGUAUGGACCGC
rnacentral:pre_miRNA from 1 species